rnacentral:rRNA from 1 species
GGCGGACGGGUGAGUAACACGUAGGUGACCUGCCCCGAAGUGUGGAAUAACAGUCCGAAAGGAUUGCUAAUACCGCAUGUGGUCUGUGAGGUUAGAGUCUUGCAGACUAAAGCAGUAAUGUGCUUCGGGAGGGGCCUGCGCCCCAUCAGCUAGUUGGUAGGGUAAUGGCCUACCAAGGCAACAACGGGUAGGGGGCCUGAGAGGGUGACCCCCCACAUUGGCACUGACACACGGGCCAAACUCCUACGGGAGGCAGCAGUGAGGAAUAUUGCUCAAUGGGCGAAAGCCUGAAGCAGCAACGCCGCGUGCGCGAUGAAGGCCUUCGGGUCGUAAAGCGCUUUUGAGAGGGACGAGAUAGGACGGUACCUCUGGAAUAAGUCACGGCUAACUACGUGCCAGCAGCCGCGGUAAAACGUAGGUGGCAAGCGUUAUCCGGAUUCACUGGGCGUAAAGCGCGUGCAGGUGGUUUCGUAAGUUGGACGUUAAAUCUCCCGGCCUAACCGGGAAGUGUCGUUCAAUACUGCGGGACUUGAGGGCAGAAGAGGGGGGUGGAAUUGC